rnacentral:rRNA from 1 species
UACGUAGGGACCGAGCGUUGUCCGGAUUCAUUGGGCGUAAAGAGCUCGUAGGCGGCCACUCAAGUCGAAUGUGAAACCUCGAGGCUUAACCUCGAGCCUGCAUUCGAUACUGGGCGGCUAGAGUCUGGUAGGGGGAUCUGGAAUUCCUGGUGUAGCGGUGAAAUGCGCAGAUAUCAGGAGGAACACCCGUGGCGAAGGCGGCUCUCUGGGACGGUACUGACGCUGAGACGCGAAAGCGUGGGGAGCGAACAGG